rnacentral:lncRNA from 1 species
GGAGAGAAUGAGCUUGGAGCCGCAGGGCUUAAUCCCGCGCGGCUCAGAGAUGGGUUUCUGGACUCGCGAAGCAGCUGCAACAAGGCAUCACUCACUGUAUAAGUAUUUCCAUUUCUGAGAGCAAAAGGAAGAACUUAAGCGGGCGGCACUUGGAGUGUAAAUUGCUUUGUAGUAUUUAAAGGCAGAAUGGAUCCUGGGCAGCCGAGCUGAUCAUGAGGUUCCUGAGGCCUCCUAGCCAUGCUUCCUGUGCAGCCUAUGGAACUCAACAAACCGGCAGGACUUCCUGUGAAAUCAUGACCACCAUGUGCUCUUUCAGCCUCUAUCAGUUCCUACCUCUAAGCACCUGAGAGCCAAAGCAAACCACAGGAAACCACAGGCCUUUGGAGUCAGACUGGAACUACAGCAUUGACUCUUCCGGAACUCCAGCUUACUGACUACAGAUCUUGGAACUUUUCAGCUUCCACAACCAUAAUGAAAGCCAAGCAUAUUCCAUCAUUUCCUAAAACCAAGAUAGAGCACAUAUGGGAACUUGUGAAAUAAGGAUGCCCUGCGGUUGUUUUCAGGACUGAAGACAACAGCUCCACGAUGUAUCUUUGCAUAAGAAUACACUUGUAUAAUAAGUUUUUUUUUUUAGAGAAAUUGCAUGUAUCUGCCUUAUAAACUUUUUCAUUCAUUCAUUUUCUUUCUUCCUAAUCUGUUCCAUAAAGCAAAUUUCUAACUUAUUGUUAAUCAAAAUAAUUAUUGAAAUAAUUAGUACUUUCAUAUGAUAAAGAUUAUUUUAAUCUGCAGCUACAAAAUAUGUAACUCAUUAAUAUUUAAACAAUCACAAUUUUCUAUUAACAUUAUAGCAUUUUAUCUACUACUAGAUCAGGAAUUAGCUAUUUUUUGUAAAAUUUCUUUGUAAGGCAAAGCAAUAGUAUUGUAUAUACUUUCCUAAAGAUUGUCAAGUUCAGUUUUGCUUAAAUUUAACAGUACAUGUGACACUUUCUGUUUGAAGAAUAAGUUGGUUUUAAGUUUAUACCAAACAAAAGCAUCUCUUUUGUUUUGCAAAAUCUGAAACUUUGAUCUUUCUAGUUGUGACUUCUUGUAAAUAUGUUUUAUAUAAAUAUUCUAUGAAUUGGUUAUUAACAAGGUAAAGAAAGAUUGAUAUGUAAGCUGAUUCUUAAACAUUAAUUUUCUGGAGAUAAACUUUUUUAAAAUUAUGCUUUAAAAAUAUUUUAACACAUGUUAUCAAAAAGGAACUGAAAUAUCUUAGGCAUAAAAGACAUCUCUAGAGGUCAUUAUUCAGUUUCCAGAAAGUACUGAAACUAUCUCUGACAGAUUGAUACGUUUUCUGCAUUUAUAGCUCUCUGGAGAGAGGUUCUGUAUAUUUAACAAUUCUCACUGUGAGGGAUAUUUUAAGUAUUUCAAAUUUAAAGUGCUCAUGUUUCAGAUUCAGAUUAUUAUUAUCAUCAUCAUUAUUUUGGUUCUGGCUUCAGUAAAAAUGUGAAAAACACUUUUCCAUCUUCUGAUAAUAUUUCAUAUUUAUAAAAUUAUUAUUAAGUUAUAACUCAGCUUUUUCAUUUAUGCUUUAAAUCCUUUUAUUAUCUCAUCACAACCAUCUUUGACUGUUUAUCAGAAAUGGUUCUCUUUUGUACAUUGACCAUUAUUUUAUAGAUCACAUUUAAGUUAAUAUAAAUCAUGCCUAUAAAUUUCAGCCUGCUUAUUUUUUAUAAUCUAGUCAGAUAUCAGCUAGACAUAUUGUUACCAAGUUUGGAGAGCCUUGGGAUAAGCUAGUUUCAAAACUGGCUGUUAGCAUCCCUCAGUUGUGUUUUGGGAGCAAAGGACACCCUUAAAAAAGGGAGGCAGUUAUAUUUUGUGAGCAUUAUAAAAUAAACUUAAAUUCUCAUAAAAUUAGUGAAUAUGUUUGGAACAGUGUGAAUUACGUGUGUGCUACAUGAAGUAUAUAGAAUUCAUUUGAAGUAGGAAGUCUGGCCUUACCUCAAAAGACAGUCAUUCAAUUAAGCAGUUAAACAUAAGCCACCAUAAGAAGUUUUUUUGAUACUUAGAGAGAGAAAGGCAACGUGUAUUAAAAUUCCGGGACCAUUAUCUCAGGAGUGCUGUGUUAUUAUUGACUGGGGGCCUGCUGGGAAGCUAGAAAUAUAUCUAAAAUGUGGCAGGUGGUUAAUUAGAGCAUAUGAAUAAAUAUAUAUAAAUUUGUUAAAGCGUUCACUUAUGGUAAACUAUACCUCAAUUAAAAAGAAAAAAUAUGCACAAAGAAAAUAAAUAAUGAAUGGAAAUAUGAGCCUCUAAAAUCAAAGUUAGAAAAGCAGAUAUUCAAAUUUGCAGAGCUGAUUGUCAACUGGAAUGAUUGUGAUAGAAUCAAGUCUCACUAGCUCAUUGGAAAUAGGAUUUGUUAAGGUAAUGAUGGUUAAUGAUUUUUCAGCAUAAUAACAGCCAAGUUAAUGUAUGGGUGCGUGUGUGUAUCCAUAGGUGUAUGUUUUUACAUGCGUAUUUUUAUUGUAAAAUUAACAUGUUUAUUGAAAACAAGAAAGCACAGAAAAUAUCAACUUAAGUAAAGAUCAACAUAAUUUAGUUCAAAAUUAUAUUCAACAGUGCAUUAUUUCAAUGUUUUUUAUCUUAAUCCAUUUGCUUGAAAGCAUUGAUAUAUGCUCCAAAUUUCCUCCCAGAUUCCACUUGGGGAAAUAUUUAGUAUAUUGGAUUAUGAAAUGAUUUAUCUUUACCUAUAUUAUUAGUAAAGUUCUUAAAAUUUUUAGCCUGUUACUGUCUAUGUGAUUAGUGAUAUUGUUCACAUGACUAAAAUUCAAAGAUAAAAUAUGAUUAUAUUUUAUGGGUGAAAGUUAGGAAGCAAAAUAGCAUAUUAAUACAUUUAACUAAAGUAGUAUUCAUUUGGAUAAUCAAGGUCAAACACUUCAAAAAUAAUAAUUUUAAAGUUAAUGCUUUCAAAAAAUAAAUUAGCAAAAAUUAUUUACUUUGUUUCUUAAAAAGAAGAAUUAUUGAAAAAAAUUCUACCAUCAAAAAAUAGUUGUUCUAUGCCUAGUUUAUUUUAGUCACUGAAUAAGACUGAGCCCUUGACCUCAUAUUUUUUCCUGCCUCACCAUUAGCAGUUAGGUUUAGCUAUGCAAACCUUUAUUUAUUCAACAUAUAUAAAAUACUUAGUAUGCAGUAGAUGUUAUUCUAAGUGCUUGGUAGAUAUCAACACAUUUAAUAAUCAAAACAACUCUAAGAGGUAAUUAGUACUAUUAUCUCCAUUUUAUUACUGAGGAAACCAAAGCACAA